rnacentral:rRNA from 1 species
UUGGUGUGGUUGUUGCUGGCCCUUUCGGGGGCAUGUGCACACCCACCAUCCUCAUCUCUCCACCUGUGCACCUCUUGUAGACCUGAAUUGACUUUCCGAGGCAACUCGGUCGGGAAGAUUGCUGUGCUCUGUGAGCCAGCUUUCUUUGCAUGUCUAGGCCUAUGUUUUUCAUAUACCCCUAUAGAAUGUAACAGAAUGUAUCAUUGGGCCUUGUGCCUAUAAACCUUAUACAACUUUCAGCAACGGAUCUCUUGGCUCUCGCAUCGAUGAAGAACGCAGCGAAAUGCGAUAAGUAAUGUGAAUUGCAGAAUUCAGUGAAUCAUCGAAUCUUUGAACGCACCUUGCGCUCCUUGGUAUUCCGAGGAGCAUGCCUGUUUGAGUGUCAUUAAAUUCUCAACCUUAUUAACUUUUGUUGAUAAUGGAUUGGAUUGUGGGGGUUUCUUUUGCUGGAUUCUUCACAGAGAUCAGCUCCCCUUAAAUGCAUUAGCUGGUGCCCCGCGUGGACCAUCUAUUGGUGUGAUAAUUAUCUACGCCGUGGAUGUCUGCAAUCAUAUGGGUUUUGCACUGCUUCUAACCGUCUGUUCAUUCGGACAAUACAUGACAAUUUGACCUCAAAUCAGGUAGGACUACCCGCUGAACUUAAGCAUAUCAAUAAGCGGAGGAAAAGAAACUAACAAGGAUUCCCCUAGUAACUGCGAGUGAAGCGGGAAAAGCUCAAAUUUAAAAUCUGGCGGUCUCCGGCCGUCCGAG